rnacentral:rRNA from 1 species
GACGAACGCUGGCGGCGUGCUUAACACAUGCAAGUCGAACGGAAAGGCCCUGCUUUUGUUGGGUGCUCGAGUGGCGAACGGGUGAGUAACACGUGAGUAACCUGCCCUUGACUUUGGGAUAACUUCAGGAAACUGGGGCUAAUACCGGAUAGGAUCUCCUGCUGCAUGGUGGUGGUUGGAAAGUUUCGGCGGUUGGGGAUGGACUCGCGGCUUAUCCGCUUGUUGGUGGGGUAGUGGCUUACCAAGGCUUUGACGGGUAGCCGGCCUGAGAGGGUGACCGGCCACAUUGGGACGGAGAGACGGCCCAGACUCCUACGGGAGGCAGAAGGGGGGAAUAUUGAAAAAUGGGCGGAAGCCUGAGGCAGCAACGCCGCGUGCGGGAUAACGGCCUUCGGGUUGUAAACCGCUUUCGCAUGUGACGAAGCGUGAGUGACGGUAAUGGGUAAAGAAGCACCGGCUAACUAAGUG